CUUUUUAUUAAUGUCCGACCGAACUUUCGGUUUCGGUUUCGGUUUCGGCCGAGUUUCGGCCAAAAAUCAAGUUUCGGCUGCAGUUUCGGUUUCGGCCAAAAUCGGCCGAAACUUUUGCCGAAACCGAAACUUAUCUCGCAAGGUCACGCACGUUCGCCUAACUUCGUUUUCCGCGGCAAAGCUGUGUCGUAAGCCGUCGGCUCUGUUCGGGAAUCAUCGUGUGCCGUUCGGAUAGCUCCGUAGUAAUGCAAUAAAACUUAGUCAGUGCGUGUGCGUCCGACGGAAACAUUAUUUGGAGGUUAUGUUUUGAUGAAACUGAUAACAUGUAAGUUUUUGUUUUGUUUCUGUACUUGAAUGAUUUAUAUAGUUAAUUAAAUAUUGAGUCAAUAACUGUUUUGUUGUUAUUAACAAAUGAAGUCACAUGUAAAAAAGAAAUUAGUAAAAUGUCACAACGAGAAACAAAUCCGAUUUGGCAGUACUUUGAUAAAAGUAUCAGUGAUACAUCAAAAGCUGUUUGCAAGUAUUUAUUGUAUUAAAUAAAUGAUUACAAUACCUACAACAAACUGAAUUAAUAUACUGUGUUUCCACUUCAUACCCUAAUUAAUGCAAAAUAA
rnacentral:lncRNA from 1 species